ACAUUCCAACUCACUUCAUAGCUCACUCACCACAGCACCCCUGGUGAAAGGACCAUGCAAGAAAGGCUGCCGUUCUGCGCGAUCAGGCCGAGAAGAGGUACUCUGUUCUCCAGAUCAGCAUUCAUGCUUAAUUAAUUACCAUCCAUUGUGGCAUUGUAUCUUGCUCCCGUCUUUGUCUUUAUUGGCUCCGUUACCUCAAGCAUUUCACAAAAUUAAACCUAGCUCCGUGAUCUAAUAACUGGUGUGGCUAUCAGCAAACGCACUUACAGGGUUUGAACCUCCUUUUUCCAAAAAAUAAAAAAACUUACACAUGUUCUUUACUUCUUUUCUGAGUGGAUCGUAAAAUUUUAUUGUUCAUUGGAGUAUGUUCAGCCGGCUGUGAACAUAUUGGCCAGUGUUCAUUCUUUUUUACUUUGCAGGUAACGAAGCCAAUCAGACAACGAAAAUGGCCGUGCUUCUACUAUUGUCAACGCUGCUCAUUUCCUAUGGAGUUGGCACCAUCGAAUGCUCCACGGUCCCUGGUAACAGCACGGACAUGCUCUCGUUGCUAGAUUCCAAAUGGGCCAUCACCAAUGAUCCGAGGCAAGCAUUGAGCUCUUGGAACGCCAGCAUCCCCCAUUGCCAAUGGGAGGGCGUCAACUGCAGCCUGACGCAGAAAGGGCGUGUCACGGUGCUCAAUCUCACCUGCCAAAAUUUGGAAGGCCAGAUUGCUCCUUCUCUUGAAAAUUUAACCUUCCUUAGAAGUCUCGACCUCCGUUCAAAUGGCUUCUUUGGCCAGUUACCCACUCUUAACCGCCUACAUAAGCUGCAGGACCUUAUUCUGGGCAAUAACAUGUUGCAGGGGUUCAACCCUGACGCAAUUGCAAACUGCUCCAGCCUCCACUAUCUAGACCUUUCUGCAAACUCCCUGAAGGGUUCGCUCCCCACAAAUAUUGGUAUCCUCUCCAGCCUUCUGUAUUUGAAAAAAAGGGCAACCUGGUGCAUGUAGCUCCCGCUUGCGCAGGGUCCAGGGAAGGGUCCGACCACUUUGGGUCUAUAGUACGCAGCCUUUCCCUACAUUUCUGUAAGAGGCUGUUUCCAGGAAUUGAACACAUGACCUCAUGGUCACAAGGCAGCAGCUUUACCACUGCGCCAAGGCUCCCCUUCUAGCCUUCUGUAUUUGAACCUUGAAGAAAAUAAUUUCUUUGGCAUCAUCCCGUCAAGCCUGCACAAUAUAACAAAUAUAAGGGAAAUUGAUCUAUCAGGUAAUCAGUUUGAAGGGAGCAUUCCGGGACAGCUUGGGCAGUUACCGAGUAUGUCUCAGUUGUAUCUAGGGGGGAAUAGGCUAUGGUAGAAUCCCAACAACAAUUUUAAACAAUUCUGCUCUAGUAGCUCUUGACUUCAAUUCAAAUUUUCUACGCAUGGAGUUGCCAUCUAACAUUGGCAAUACUCUUUCUAAACUUAUGGCAUUAUCCUUGUCCAAUAACAUGUUUCAAGGCCGAAUCCCAGACUCCCUAGGUAACAUUCUACGACUCGAGCUGAUAGAUUUCUCAUCCAACAAUUUCAAUAAUCAAGUACCUAGUUCCUUGGGGAGGCUUAUUAACCUGAACUAUUUAGGACUUGCGGAGAACAAGCUGGAAGAGAAUGACAACAAAAGUUGGGGAUUCUUAGAUGCGUUGAGCAAUUGCAGUUAUCUGGAAGUGCUCUCCUUACAAAGCAAUCAGCUGAAAGGAUCCAUACCCAAAUCAGUUGGAAAGUUGUCACCAUGCCUUGCAUAUCUAUCGUUAGAAAGAAAUUACUUGUCUGGGACAGUUCCAGACAGUAUAGGGAACCUUACUGGUUUAACUCAGUUAUCAUUAGCUCAAAACAAUCUCUCCGGUCCAAUUGGAGCAUGGAUUGAAAAAUUCAAGAACCUAGGAGUGUUAGCUCUCGCAGAGAAUAACUUUGCUGGGCCGAUUCCAUCCUCCAUUGGCAGGCUUACAAAGUUGACAAAGCUCUUCCUGAGUCGUAAUAUAUUUGAAGGUCCCAUACCACCCAGUUUAGGAAACCUUCCAUUUCUGUCAAGAUUGGAUCUUAGUGAGAACAACCUAAACGGGUAUAUUCCUUAAGGGCCCUUUUUAGGGACAUAUCCGUUAAGUGUUGGUAUGGUAAUAGAAUAACCAUCGGUGAGACAAUCCGGAAAAAAAGGAUCUGCCCCCGUGUCGUCCCCCAGCAAGGCGACUCUGGCAUCUGCUUCCCCGGCGGGCGGCCCUCCAUGCUCCGCUCCUCGUCCUCACCGCCACGAGUGGCGACGACGGGGCAACUCGGUCGGUCUCCUCUCCAUGGUGGUUGUUGGCACACUGAUGACGAUUGAUGGCGGAGAUAGGGCGCCGGGGCGGCGGCCCCUCUUCGAGGUGAUGGCGACUGCGACGGUCGUUUGGGUGGCAUCGUGGCUGGGCUUGUAGGAUACACGCGGUCCCGCCAUAGCGGCAACGGUGGGUCUGGGAGUCACCGGAUCCGUCCAGGAGUGGCUGGUCCCCGUCCCCUGGCAUGGUUGGCGUCUCGCCAAGUUUGGGCCUCCGGGGUUGCAAGCGGAAUGAUGCGGCAUCACUGACCUUUGUCCGCAGGUCUGGAAGGUCUGGACCAAGAGGGGGCGGUGUGGGGGCUGCUAGCUUCAUCCUAAUAAUGGAGGUUUGGCCCUAGGGCUCAUAUUAUCAGCCAACACGGCCUCAAGAGGGCACGCUCAAAGCUUCGAUUUCUACCGGUGUCAUGGGACAUGUCUAAGUCAAGAUUCCCGAGGCAUUGAUAGAGGAGGAGAAAGCCAUGCCGGCUUCGAUUUUCAUGACCUAACCAACUAGGGACGGCUUAGCUUAGUCUUUUCCGAGAGGCGAUUGAUGUCUGCCAACUUUUACGAUCUUGGGUAUAUCGGCCUGUAUUGUAGUGUACGUUUGGACCGUGCUUUGGCAUCUGCCGAGUGGUGUGUUGGAACAAAUAAUCAACCACUAAAAAACAUUUGCAAAUGCUGCACAAUUCCUCUCUUUUUUUUCACUUCAGGGGAAGAGAAGUUGCCUCAUGUCUGAAAAUUCUACUCUUCAUUUUGUAUUGCAGAUGUUAAAGCAUUACUCCCUCCGUCUGAAAAUACUUGUCAUCAAAAUGGAUAAAAAGGGAAGAAUCUAGAACUAAAAUAUGUCUAGAUACAUUUCCUUUUAUCCAUUUUGAUGACAAGUAUUUCCGGACGGAGGGAGUAUCUCACAUGGAAACUGAAAAUCAGGUCCCUACUUUUGCAAUCAAGAUGAUGUACAGAUUAAACUGCUAAACAUCGAUGAAAACAUGCUAAACAUCCAUGAAAAACAUGCUAAACAUCCAAAAUAUUAUUGUGAACCGCAAUCAAGAAAAGUUUGGAAAAAAUAAAAUAAAAGCAGGCAGGCAGGCACACUUUAGAAAGGGGAAACAAACUCAACUGCAGCAAUACAUCAUAUUGACAAAUGGGUGAAUAUUGACAUGCAAUAGAAUGCCUAUAUGUUUACAACACAUAGAAGAACAUAAAGCUCUUCCAUGCAUCAAACAAUCUCUCACUCUGUAUAUCUUAAUCCCUAGCUCUUUCUAGCCUACAGCUGCGGCUGUGAGGCCCACAUUCAGCAGGAAUUCACCAUUUCAUCCUGCAAAAUUUGGUAAUAUUCUGUAUCUCACGCAAACAAUUGUGGCCUAGGAAAUGCAUCAAAACUCAACUCUUCCUACUUAAUCAAUCCACUAAAAUGCGAUAUAGGGAAUGGAUGUUCCCGUCACAUAACAUCCUAAUUCCUACUUAAUCAAUCCACUAAAUAUAGUUGUAAUAGAGACCGUCCGAACUACUACCAGCUAAUAUAGGAAAUGCAUCUCAUUACUAGUGCUCUUCCAUGGUACCGGCCUCAUAGAUACCAUCCAAAAGCCUCCUGACAUCUUUCGUCACAUGGCAUUACUGUUUCAAGCAAGACAGAACAGAAGUCAGGAUGGACAUAAAUUAAGCACAUAAAAUCAAAUGGGCACCAAGAUAUAUAAGUGGAUAGUAAAACAAUGGUUAACUAUCAUGUGUCUUGUGCUCGAAACCUAAUAAAAGCUCCAGGAAUCCAUGUUAAAUGCCAUCAUACCAGAAGGUGCGCAUAUCUUACAUUAUACGGUUCAAAGUCCAGUAAUACAAAGCUUUGAUUAUAUAAGUAGAAAUGGCACACGAGUGCAAAUUACCUGCUGUUAACUAGGAUUAUUCACUGGUCCAUAUCAAAGAAAAUAUUAUGUUGUGAUAUAUCUAAAUAAGAAAUCAUGCAUAGGCCCCAGCCUGCCUGCAGAUAGUAUUCGAUCCACUAUUCAUUUAAUAUUCGAUUAUUAGACUCACAUACAUAAUAGCUUGAGCAUAGCAGUCACAGUUCAACGGUAUGAUUGAUUUUGAGAAAUAGGAAGCUAAAGUUUCAGACUGGAUGGGUUUGUGAUGCUAUUUCAGAACAAGUGGUCAACAUGAUAGCAAGGCUAGGCAUCCUUCAGUUCUUAUACAUGAUGUUUUCUACCUUUGUAGGUCCACUUGCAGAUCAGAAAAACAGUGAUACAACAGAGCGAAAGGCCUGCAAACUCACCAAACAAAUUAUUUUUCAGCACCAGCGGAAAUAACCGUAAUGCAACUGCAUAAGGAAGCAUUAAAAAAAGGUAACCAUUCUAGGGAGUCAGCUGUCAUAACCUGACACCUCCUGCUAUCGGCGCUCUGUAGCUAGUCUGAGUUCAUAUAAAUAUUACCAUCUUCGCUAAAAGUAUAACCAACUAGAACCUAUUAUUACAGAUGAAAAUAUAUUACGCAACACGGACUUAUAGACGACCCAUAGCAACACAUAAAUGAUAUUUUCGUUACAGACUGCAGACGAAGUAAGAGCAGCACAGCAUCCUUUCAAAAUCAUCUUAGAGAAAGCAUUUCAAUGAUGUUGAACUGGUUCUCUAAAAUGACGUAUGGAACCAAUCAUAUACCUAACAACAUUCUACAACUACAAUCAUACCAAACUGUGUGACAAAGGAUGCACAUCGCAAUACUAUGUAACCUCAGCCAAGAGAAGAGCACUAUACUGAUCAUCUUAAGGACAGAAAACAAACCUUGUAGGAUCAUCCUUGAGUGCAGGGAAUUUGGGGGGCCAGAACAUCAUAAAAGGAUGGAUAGGAUCAGAAGGUUCAUCUUCUGACCAUAUACGCAGUUUCCUGCACUUGAUAUCCAGAUAGAGCAAGCAUCCACUCAUCAUCAAGAACAUAAACUCAGCAUUGUCCCCCACCUCCCUUAUCCAAAUUGGAGGAUUUUGUUCAUUGUCAAUAAUGCGAUCCGACAUCCUCAAAUUAGCAACCAUGUCAUGCAAACAAAUAGUGUCCACCAAUGACCAGUUGUCCCCCUUGCAGAGCCAGAUGCGAAGCUGAAACUCCUUCAGCUUGAUGAGAUAUACACUAGAAGCAUCAUCGGCCCGUGACAACUUGGUGUUUAAACAGCCAUAGUUCACCCCUUGUGGGAACUUAAUUGCGGAGAAGCUUGUGGCUGACAAAUCCAAUAAAAGAACGCCACUCCAGGCACUCUUGUCUUGGACAAAGAAAUAGAUUUUAUUGUUGACAAGCAUAGGUUUACUGUCAUAUAGCAGAGAAGAGGUUUUAGUGGUGGCCGAGGUUUGCAUACGCCAUACACCAUCUUGCAACACAUAGACACGCACAUUGAAACAUUUUGUGUGCAUGAUAUACUCCAUUGACACAUACAAGUAGAAAAGUGUGUCGCCUUCUUCUUUGGAGAGGACUGCAUAACGAGUGUCGUAAAUGGAGUAAAUAUUGUAAUGCUGCGGGAACGGUGGGACGAUGGACAUGCUUCUCUUAGGGCAUAGUGGACGGUGCACUCGAAGAGUGACUCCUCUUGCUCCUAUGCCUCUGGUGAAGAUGCAGCCAUUCCGGAAAUCCUUGAUCGAUAUAGCGCGAUCUAACGCGCCGCCAUAGAGGGCGUAGCUUGCCACACGGCGGAUGACAUCGGCGAGCUCCGGGGGAUAUGGUGGCGGGAUGGGGAAGAACCAUGCCCCACGAUAGAAGCCAAUGAGGCGAGGAGGGUGCAGCUUACGAAAAUGACAUAGGAAGGCCGGAUCAGAGGCAUGGUGGAGCUAGCGUCUGCACACAAGGGCGGCGCGGACGAGGGUGGUGGGGAAGCUGAGGCGGAGGAGGAUCUCGAUGAGGAGGUCGUCAUUGUUGAGCACCUUCCAUACGGCUGCGUACAACACUCCCGGCGGCUUCCUCUCACCGUUCAUGUUGUGAUGGUAUCUGUGGGUUUGGGAAACAAUGUAGAACAGGGCAUUAGUACCGCCGGCUGAAUUUAGGCAACAGAAUAACCAACGGUUUGCACUAAACAAUGGCUAGUGAAUUUCAAUUAGAUCCAAAAAAAUCGGACUAAAAUACUCUAGGGUUAGCGAAUCUGAUUAAUCAACAAUCGGCAUUCAGCAAUGGCUAGUGAUUCUGAUUUGGUGGUAAAAACACUCCAAGGGUUCGGAAUCUUAUUGCAUCAAACAUGGAUCAUGGGGCUGAUGAGAACACUCCGAGGAACACAAUCAUGGAGGCAUCCAUGAAUCGAUCUGAAAAUAAGUACAUGGAUCCAGCGGGAAACCCUAGCUGCGAAGGAGGAGUACCUCAGUCCAGGUUGGUCCGGCGGGACAUCUCUCCCCGGCCGUCCGCGCCCCUCGCGCCGUCGGAAGGUGUCGCCGUCGAGAGGCGGAGAAGCGAUGGGCACGACACAAGGAGUCGGGUAUUUCCCGAUCUGGGACGCGGACGUUUGGUCUAGGGAAGUGUUUGUGGCCAGGGCGCCGGCCGAACCGUUGCGCCGGUCGCGUGCGCAGCGUAUGAUCCUUCCUUCCUGAUCCACCGGCUCCUGUUGCACCCACGCGCACAUGCUGGUGGGCCCCGACCAGUUUUUCUUUAGCUGCCAGACCGCUUUUUUCCCCUACACUUGUUUCUAUCCCUACCCGUGUCCACUCGUUUCCUCUUGCAAUCGCCAUGGACAGCCGUCGGAGCCCUGACCGGUUGAUAUCGAGCUACAACCUGCGAGUUGUUUUUUAGGGACCGGCGGGAAUUUUUGCUAGGACCGGGUGAUUGCAAGCCAUUUUUUUGCUGCAACCGGUGUUUAUUUUUGUUGCGACCAGCGAGAAUUCUUGUUUUGACCAGUGACCGGCGAGAAUUUUUACUACGACCCGGUGAUGGCCAUUUUUUUUGCUGCAACCAGCAAGAAUUUUUGUUGCGACCAGCGAGAAUUUUUGUUACGACUAGUGACCGGCGAGAAUUUUUGCUACAACCCGGUGAUGGCCAUUUUUUUUGCUGCAACCGGCGUUCAUUUUUGCUGGGACCAGCAAGAAUUUUUGUUGCGACCAACCAGCGAGUUUUUUUGUGGCUGAGAUUUUUUUUGCUAGGAUAGGGGAGAUGAUUUGCUGGGACUAGCAAGACGGAAAGCUGCAACGGGCAAGACGAUUUGUUGGGUCCAGGAGAGGCCAUGCUACAGCGAGCCUUUUUGCAUGAGCAACGACGUCGAGUUGCGACGGUGAUGCAGGGCGGCGGCACCGAGCAGGGCCGGCCUGGGGCAUGGGCGGUGGGGCGGUGUCCCAGGGCCCAGGCGGGAGGGGGGGGCCCAUGAUGUAGUACAUAUACAUACUAAUGCCCGGCAAAAAAAUGGUAAAAAAAAACGAGAUGGGCUAGGGCGCGAGGCCCAUGCGAUCGAUUACGAAGCGUUACGCUAGCGCCAGCGAUCGAUACCGGCUGCUCAUUUUCUUUUCCUUCGUCUGGAGUCUGGACGGUCGGUCUCUAAUCUCUUCGUCCUGCCUGCCGCUCGGCGCUUGGCGCCUUGCCGUCUCGGCCGCCGCUGUGCGUGCCGCAUAGCAGUCCGGUAACCCAAAGUCUGCAACGAGCCAACGAGGUAAUCCAUGAACCAUUCCAUCCGCCAGUUUCUUCAGCCCGUAUAUGUAUCCAUGAUCCAUCCAUGUUCUUGAUGACCUAAUCCAUCCCCCCAGAUCCCAAUUUGACAAUUUCAGUAGUAUGUACGUAUUCAACUAUCCACAUGUAUGUCUAGGGUUCCAAUCAUCCGAUUAUAAAUUCUUAAUUCUUUGUACCCUCUUUUCUUCAUGAUUUUAGGACAUUAUCCUGCCAUGUUGCCUAAGAAGAAGAUGUUGUUGCUGAAAAAAGGAGAAGAGAAAAAGAAAGUAUUAUUGCAUCAAGAAACAUCCAAAGAAACUUUUUUUGAAGCACUGAAGUAUUAUUGUUGUCGAUGGAGUCAGUUGAAUUUGGUUCUUAUUUGAGGUAAUCAUGGUAUGUUAGUUUUAUUUUGCCAUCUUUUUAGUAUUAUUGUUGUC
rnacentral:lncRNA from 1 species